GUGGGGAAUCUUGCGCAAUGGGCGAAAGCCUGACGCAGCAACGCCGCGUGGUGGAUGAAGGCUCUCGGGUUGUAAACCCCUUUCAGCAGGGACGAAUCAAGACGGUACCUGCAGAAGAAGCCCCGGCUAACUACGUGCCAGCAGCCGCGGUAACACGUAGGGGGCAAGCGUUGUCCGGAUUUAUUGGGCGUAAAGAGCUCGUAGGUGGCUGAGUAAGUCGGAUGUCAAAUCCCCAGGCUCAACCUGGGAUCCCAUCCGAUACUGCUCUGGCUAGAGUCCGGUAGGGGAGCGUGGAAUUCCUGGUGUAGCGGUGAAAUGCGCAGAUAUCAGGAGGAACACCAGCGGCGAAGGCGGCGCUCUGGGCCAGUACUGACGCUGAGGAGCGAAAGCGUGGGGAGCAAACAGGAUUAGAAACCCCAGUAGUCC
rnacentral:rRNA from 1 species